GCGUGCGCACGCCCGAUCGUGUGUAGUUCGCGCGUUCUAGUGUGCCGCGACGUCGUGUCCAGGAAAGGCUGCUCGCUGCCGCUCGAAACAAACAAGCUUUGGCUUCGCGGCAAACAACACCACACGUUCGAAACCGCGUACCAACCGGGGCGCUCACCCGUGUUUAGGCGUGCGUGCGUGCGUGCGUCCCAGCGUGUAUAAUAUUCGCGAGUGCGAACGGGUUUUCGGUUUUGUUUCGUUCUUGCUGUUUUUUGUUGUGUGCGGAAAAACGGGCGAAAGACGCACAAAACAGAAAAGCAAACCGGCUGGCUGACUGCUGGUACAGAACGCGGCGCCAAACACUCCCCGUUCUGCGCCCAUUGCCGAACAGCAAAAACGUUGGCCGUUUGUGGCUUUUCUGUGGGGCUGUGUGUCUGAAACCGCGUGGUUUGCGAGCAACCCCGAAAGAACAGCCCCGUCGCUCGGAAGGGGUGGGGGGAGUGCAGCAGCAGCAGUAGCGGCAGCAUCAGCAUCAGCAGCCACCCCAAAAGGUGUGCUGGGCGUGUGGCGGCAAGCAAUCAAUACUGUAAGAGGCGUGUGCAAAAAUAGGCCAGUGCUGAAUAUCGGAAGAAGUGUGGCAGUGUUUUUUUGUUGUUGUUGUUCUAGCUGUUUUAGUGGAGGAUAAAGGAGGGGUAAAGCCCCAUUCGAGAACUACUGCUUACGCCUCGUGCAAGUGUGUGUAUUCCACAGUGUGUGGAAUGGUUUAAUAGUAGAAGGUAGGAAAAAGAAAAUUAAGAAAGUAGAAACGUCCUGCCAAACGGUCCACGCGGUGCUAAUCGAUGUCGAUAUAUUGCGAAUAGUGUGGGUAGCCAGCAGGCGAAUCGCUGCAAGGAUAGCAGGACCAUGGUCCACCGUCAGUUCUGCCUCAACAACAUCAACAACAACAACGACCGGUGGUGAGUGCAAUCGUCGUGUGCCGCAUAUAUCUAUUGAUCCAAUGUUUAUCUGAAACGGGCAAGCCCUUUUCUUUGUCUGGCUUUGGAUGGAGCAAGCGUGCAAAGGAGUGAUAGCUCGCGAUAUCGUGAAGCUCGGUUUUUCCUGUGUUGUCUGUGUUCUUGUUUGUGUGUGUGUGCUCUCGUGAGUGUUUGCCCCGUUUGAUUCGCUAGAGUAAAAGUGUCUAACGCAAGCCAAGAAGAAGCGCUGGUCUGCCAAGUUCAGGAAGUGAUUAUACGCAAACCGAGCAAAACGUGGGGGCCGGCUGUGUGUGCCGCUAUUCGCUGCCAGCGAAUGAAGUGCUAAUUUGCGACUAAUAUCUUCGAUCGAGCGAUGAGCGUGAAAGCCAUUCUGAUGAAGGCCGGGCUUUAUUGAUGCGCAGAAUUCCUUCAUCAACCCAUUCCCAUGUGCAGUGCGAUCAUGCACGAAAUCCGAAGUAACAAUAUAACAGUUACUUGUUGAUGCCGCAAAAUAGACGCUUGAAAACAUUGACUGUUUUUUCAGCAAUCAGAUAGAACCGUGCUAGGGACUCGCUGGAAUGAUCAAACGAUUAGCAAAGUUCAAUGCACUCAGCAAAUUGCAAUCGUAUCCAGAUACGGGCACGAGCCAUUUGCUAUGGCCAGCAGAGUACCGCUCACGUACGAAAUGUCUCCAACGGUACACACAGAGGCGGACAUCGAGUCGGCAGUAGCAGUAGCGAAGCAGGUAGCGGAAGCAGUCGAAGAGGAGGAAGGAUCUGCGGACGAUCUCCAUCCUAGGUUGACGGGCACCACCACCACCGCCUUCCAGCCGUCGCCCGUCGUCGUCGUACCCGGGUCCGUCACCAUAGUCGUUGAGUGUCAUAACGAUGCGGAUGCUGCCGCCGAUGGUGGUACUGGUGGUAGUCGCAUUACCACCACCAACAACAACAGUGCUAGUAUGAAAUGUCUCAAUUUUACCACCUCGCCCCACGCAUCCGCUCGCAAUACUCAUGCUGCAUCUGGCCAGGGCUGCAUCUCGAACACGACAGUACAGGCCGGUGGUUCCGAAACGACCACAUCAUCACCAUCGCCGCCGUUGUCGCUGCCAACAGCAACAACAACAACCACAGUAGAUAGUGCAAAGAGUAAUCAAUUCGUCAAUCAUAGCUUUAGCUGCGGAAGGGGGGAAGAAGACAUGGGCACCAGCGGUUCCGUGGUCGUGGCCAGCGAGGAUUGUGCCGAGGCCGCCCAAACGCAACCGGGGAUGACGGAGCUGGCACGCGGCUUUGCGGAUGUAGUGCGCGUGUCGACCAGUGUGCCGCAGCCGGUGACGGUCAGCUGCUGCGCUACCGGACCGGGCGGAAACGGAGUGGCGCCGAGAGGCACGCCGACAGCAGAUAAUGACGACAUGCUGGAAGCAUCCAACCGGUCCGAAUCGCAGCUCGAGAUCAGUGCGGCCGGCAUUGGGCCGGGGGCGGGCGGGUUGCGGGGCCGCGUACUGCCGAAGCUGCAGACGCUCGAGCAGACGACGCGCCCGAUCUACCCGAACGUGCCGUACAGCCCGUACAACAGCCCGUACGGUAGCCCGCGCAGUGGCCGCCGCCGGACACCGUUGCGCGAGUCGAGGCGCGUGUCGAUCGAGCAGUCGGGCAGCUUUCUGCAGCUGAACCAGUACAAACUGCUGGACCAGAUUGGGCAGGGUUCGUACGGUUUGGUGAAGCUGGCAUACUCCGAGGAAGACUCUACACACUACGCCAUGAAGAUCCUGUCGAAAAGGAAGCUCCUUCGCAAGGCGGGCCUGAUGCGCCGGGGACCGAAGCGGGGCACAUCGCCACUGGACCGGGUGUAUCGUGAGAUUGCCGUGCUGAAGAAGCUGGACCAUCCGAACGUGGUGAAGCUGGUGGAGGUGCUGGACGAUCCGCUGGAGGAUUCGCUCUAUCUAGUCUUCGAGUUGGUGCAACAGGGCGAAGUGUUGAGCAUACCGACCGAAACACCCCUGAGCGAGGAACGUGCCUGGAAUGUGUUUCGAGACGUGCUGCUGGGCGUCGAAUAUCUACACUAUCAGCGCAUCAUCCACGGGGACCUGAAGCCGGCCAAUCUGCUGCUGUCCGACUCUGGCAGCGUCAAGGUGGCCGACCUCGGCGUCUGCAACGAGUUCCUCGGCGAGGAUGCGGCCAUGAACAACGGUUCCACGGCGGGGACGCCCGCCUUCCGGGCGCCGGAAACCCUGCUGCCCGGGCAACACUUCUACAAUGGCAAGGCGGCCGACAUCUGGGCCCUGGGCGCGACACUGUUCUCGCUCGUGCACGGCAACGUCCCGUUCAUUGCCACCUCGGUGCCGGGCGUGUACGAGAAGAUCAAGAACGAUCCGCUCGAGUUUCCGGCGAACUGCUCGAGUGCCACCGCCAGCACCAUCAGCGAGGAGCUACGCGAUCUGAUCAGCCGCAUGCUCGACAAGGACCCGCAGCAGCGCAUCACGCUGCCCCAGAUCAAGGAGCACCCGUGGAUGACCAAGCACGGUACGGUGCGGCUGCCGAGCGAGGAGGAAAACUGCCGGCUUGUGCAGAUCAGCGACGAGGACAUGAGCAGCGUGGUCAAGAGCAUACCGAAGCUGGACACGCUCAUCCUGAUCAAGACGAUGCUGAAGAAGCACUCGUUCCAGAACCCGUUCACCAAAGGCAUCUCGGGGCGGGCACCGCAGGCGGGCGGUUCGCGGCUGGAACGGUUCUGCCGCUCGGGCCGCUCCAACUCGGCCCCGGGCGACUAUCACACCUCGGAACGCCAACCUUCGAGCGAGUCGCUGCUCCCGUCGGUGACGGAAGGGGUGACCAGCCCGCUCGGCAGUCCGGAUGCCACCUCCACCGUCGCCACCAUCACCACCGGCAGCAUCAUCUCCGAGCUGGACAGUCUCACGCUUCGGUCGGACGUAUCGUGCCCAUCCUCCAGCACGGACAACGAUACGGCCACGGUAACAAUUAUUACCACUCCGCCCGAGUAGCCGAUAGCUUGCCGCUAGAGAGAGACACAUACGCACACACACACAAACAGACAGACACAGACAGCACACAACACACUCGCACAUCGCGUAGGCUGUUGUUAGUGCGCUUCGUAGUUUCGUCAUGGCCAUCCUGUGGCUAGAAAGUGUUGCAGACGCAUCAGACGCUUGUGUAGGUUGUGAGAAGAGUUUGCCUAGCAACGGGCUUGCUAUACAAACAUACACCACACACACACACAUACAAACACACCUACAGUAGUGCAGUCCCUGCUUAGUACCUCCUACUACGAAGUACUGCUGUAGAGUAGCUUCACACAGCCUCCCCUCCCCACUUGCCUCUUUUUUCUAGCUGCCACGCGUGCUAACACCAUCCCGAUGGUACAGGGUUCGUCCAUCGAUUGGGCGGGCAUCAAAGAUGGCGUCCGAUUUCGUACACCGUUUCUGCCAACAGUGAGUGUGCAGUGUAGUGUGUAUGUGUGUGGUGUGUGUGUGUGUAGAUAGUAGAGUAGACUGCGCACUAAAAAAAAACAAUCGCACCCUCAACUGUCACCGCUUGACAGUUGGCGACUUAGCUGAUGGAGCGUCUGUGCGUAGUGCACAAAAACAAAACGCCGUAAUAUGACAUUAAUGUUUGGUUUAUUGCAAUUGUUUUAUUGAUACGAAACGCGCCCCAAGGCGUUGUGACAAAGAAGGGAACAAAGUAGAAGCGUUUGGUUAAGCGACAGAGCCUCUGGCAAUAAGGGCUGUGCAAACACAAACACAAACACACGCAUCCCACAGUGUGCAAUAGGACGGUCCCAAAAACACAGCAAACUGCCCAGACCGUGUGGUGUGGAGGUUUUUUGGGCUCGUUUGAAGGAAAGGUUUUGUUAGUUUUAAUAUACCGAUAGUUGAUUAGUUAAUUAGUGAUCCAGGUUUUAAUUGAGGCCCCGCACAAGUUUCUAUACCCAUACGCUGUAAAAAAACACAGCACAAGUCAUCAGAGUUACUAUAGACAUUGUAAUAUCAGACCGUCUACUACUAUUUCGUACUACUACGCACAAAACAAAAACAAACAAAAAGCACGCUAGCAUGUAAGAGACAGACACAACAGCUUGGUUGCACUAAUACCCUGCUGCUGCUGCUGCUGUUGUGCUGCUUUAACUUUGUUUUCAAUACAAAAUUUAAUAAUAAUCAUUUCUAGUACUUUAUUAAGUGAUAGCUCCCACUACCCGUCAAACCCGUUAAAACCGCGGGCAUCGUAAAAAUCUUAAUGUUUAAAAUCGUCACCGUUUGCAACGGCACAACUAACGCUAUUCUUACAUUUUUCUCUAACUGUUGUUGUACAUGAAUAAAACACACGCACACACACAACAUUCCAUUAAGACCGCGGGAAGGAAUGCACCUGUGUUGUGGCAAACUUUCCCGUGGAAAUUCAGAAUUGAAAACGCUUUAAUACUACUUAUAUGGAAUAUAUGAUAAGAAAGGAAAAUAAAUCGAGCUAUCCAAAACGUUCGCACAAAAAAAAAAAGAACCGGGCAUAAACUCGUACUAUAACUAAAUAAAACGGGAAUUGUAAGGGGGGGAAUUUAACCUACACACAACAAGUACACAACAACACACGAACACCACACGCCACAGCAAAAUUCAAAGUUGGAAUCACAAUGAUAGAACCAGAAAAAGACCAAUCCGCUAGCCGUUGUCGUCCGCCCGCGCCGUUCGCAUGACGCGGGUUAUUAUCGUAUGAUAAGGUAGAUGAUAAAGUAGCAACAAAACCAGAAGCGAUAGAUUUUUUAAACGAUAUCGAACGAGUUUCCUCCAAAGAGACGGGUUUUUUUAGUGGUUAGCCGUUUUUACGGAUACAUUUAUGGUACAGUUUUCCUCGGGCUUUGUUUACCCCACUUCUCCCCCCCCCCUUCCUCCAUUUUCCUCGCUCUCCCGCGAUCUAGCAAAGCUAAUUGGUAAGAACGGCUGUUAAGAAGUUAGCGCGAAAUAUAGACACAUUUGUUAGGCUUUGCGAGGGCUGAUAGACUUACUAGAGUAAAGGGAGGAAAAAGGGCCGUAGGGUGAAAGUAGUCAGCAAUUAAAAUGUAGAAAAGCAAAGAAACAGGAAACAGCUCGUCCCAUCUUGUGGUCCCUUUUGUCCCAACUCAGUCUCCUUAUUGACAGUUUACACUUACACAGUUUCUUGGAACGGUACCGAUCCAUCGAUCGGUCAUCGAUCCUACACUUAUCAAGCUCGUUUUAGAGAUAUCAUAGUUAGAACAGUGGUUUUUCCUCUCCAAUAGAAAAUCCCUUUGCAAUGACUCCCCACCCAGUCCCAUGCUUGUUAGCAAUAACCGCCAUAAACCACCACCACCACGUGGUUUGAAACCCUGAAAGUGAUCACAAUACAACGAGAAGCAAAACUCUGAUCGUUAUGUUUUUUAAUUGUUGCAGAAAGAAGAAAAAGAAGAAGAAAAAAAUACUGAAAAUUGUUAAUAAACCCGCUAGCGAAAGCGAUAAAAGAAAGCAAUGUUAAAGAGUCUUUAUUACAACCCGCGCCAAACUGAAAAUGGGGAACACGUAAGGAUGCAUUUGUCUGCAUUGUUUGUUUGUGUAACUUUUUAAUUCCAACACUCCCUCCCCCCCCUCCCCCCUACCUAUCUGCACCCACAAUUGCACCAACGAUGAAAUGAUGCAUGCGACAACAAAUCGACAAGCACACAUCAAAACGGAAGGACAAAGCGCAGCCCAAUGCACUUUAGCAUAUCGCGUAACGGCAUUGUUGCAUUGUUAAACCUAGAGUCAGUGUACCUCUCUCGUUGAGAAAAAAAGGGGAGGCGAAAAAGGGAAGCACACAAGUCAAGCAAGAAAGGUGUUUGUGUGUGUGUAGAUGGGAAAUUGAAAUUGAACAAUUGUUUGUUAAAAUUGAACCGUGUUUUGUAGGAGGAAAGUGUGAGAAAGGAAGCAAGAGAAAGGAUACAAAAAAUCCCUUUUAAAAUAUGUUAAUAAUAAGCCUGGGGAAAAGAAAAAGAACAACAUACAAUUCGACAUUCGAAGCAUAAUGAUAUUUUACAAAUUUUCAGUUACUCCAGAUUAAAUAAUGUUUAAGCGUAGAUGAUAUUAAUACAAAAAGAAACAAAAAACAAGAGAGAAACGUAGAAGUGCAAUGGAAAAUGCAGAGGAAAAUAUGACACUUGUGUCUCGAUUUUAUAUAACUCUCUGUCUCUCUCUCUCUCUCUUUCUCUUUUAACAACUAUUAACAACUACUACCGAAAGCAUAUCAAGUUGACAAGCUACAUAAAAUUUAAAACUAACAUAAAAACACACACACACAUACAAAGUGACGAGUCAUACAAAAAAAAAACCAUAAGACAUGAGAGAAACCCAUUGCGAGUAAUCACUUGGAAAGCUUUAGCAUAUAACUACUACUACACAAAACUCCCCCCCCCCCCUUAUUUGUGAUAAAAUGAUUUAAAAAAAAA